UUAAAGUGAUGAUACCACAAAGGUUUCGCAUUUGUCUGAAGAUAGAAAUCACAAUGAUGAUAAACCUUGGCUGUCUGAAUAA